CUGGUGGAGGCUUACUCUCCAGCCCCCGCUCAACCAUGUGGACUUUAAUGCCCAUGGGGGGAACAACAGUGGCGCCCAGAAGGACGUGAUGUGAACGGCCUCCCUGCUCUGAACCGGAGCUGCGUUCUCUUGUUGGACCUCGUCAUGGUUUGUCCGUGAACAGACACCAUGUUUGACCCCAAAGGUGUUCAGGUCAUUACAGGUGGCUCCAGGAGUCAUGGUCUACUUUGGAACUGAUGAAAGAGGAACAUCUGGAUUUGUUAUUGCACAACAUAAAACAGUGAGGAGUCUGAACAAGAUUUAGUUUUACUGAGAAAAACAGAAACUGGUUUUAAAGAAUGAACCUGAUAUCUUGACGACAUGGAACAAAGUUCUAUGUGAGCCCCGCCCACUUUGAGUCUGAUUUAAGGAUGAGACUCAGCCUCAACCAGCACAACUUCAGCUUCAGCUGCUCUGUCUGGUCCUGCUCCAGACUGUCUUCAGAGGAAACAACUUCUCCCAGAAGUCUAAGGGAAGAAACUUUUCCUCCUUUUGCAACAAGCUCAGACUUUUCAAGUCAACGACAACAUGCCGUACGUAGCACCACUUACCCUGGUUGGUGGACAAGGAGGAGGCCCGUGUAGUUUUGACGGUGCACAAAAUGGAGCUGUGCUUAAAAAGCUGGAUGUGUGGGCCGGACCAACCCAAGUGAGAUGUAUAAAGGUCCAGAUGUCUGACGGAAAUGAAAGGAUGUUUGGGAGAGAGGGUGAUAAUCAUUACUCUUUCAUGUUUGAGGAUGGAGAAAACUUUACCUCCCUCACUCUUUGGCCCAAUAAUGCUGGAAAUCGUCUGGGUGGCUUUAAAUUCACAACAUCCAACAACCGAAAUUUUGAGGCUUUUAUGACAAAUGGAAAACCUUCGGUACCGGCAAGAGAAGUAGAUGUUGGCUCUGGAAUCUGUUUUGGAGUUCAGGGCAGGUCAGGAUCUGAAAUUGAUGCAUUUGGGUUCCUGUUCUUCAAAGUUCAUUAAGUAAACCGGUUCUAGAGGGCUAGAUGGUGAAACAACAACCUGUGUGGGUUCAGCUUCUUGAUGAGAACAGAAAUAAAUGUGUCUGACAGAAAUGAUUUCACCUUCUAGCCUCCAGACAAAGACAACAGCUAAUGAUAUCUGCUGUCAUGAAAAGGGUUUGGUUCUUUGAAACAAUCAGAUGACAUCUUUGAACAGAUGUGUUCAUGCUGCAUCUGUGGCUGAUGGGGACAAUCACCUCUUUGAUGGUUUUUCUUUUCUCUUUGAUUUCUUCAUCUGGUUUGUGGUUUUUUCUUUGGACUUUUACUGCAGUUUUCUGAAUGUUUCCAUCAGAUUUUUGGAUUUGCUGUCAUUUUCCUGCUGUACUGAGAAACUCCUGAUGAUUUUCCUGUUAUUGUCACUGGAAUCCAAUGUUUCUGUUGUCCUCAUCAUCUCUUCUGGAAAUGGCAUUCUAUCAGUAAAUCUUGUUGGCGUGGACGCUGGAAAAAGCCCUUCAGUUCAUGUCAAAUCACUUUUUGUGCUCAUCUAGUCUGUAUGAUUUGGAAAAUAAAAACUCAACCAAAUCAGGA